AGCUAUGUACGGAUGAGAUAAACGCUGAAAGCAUCUAAGUGUGAAACUCGCCUCGAGAUGAGAUUUCCCAUUCAGAAAUGAAGUAAGACCCCUCAGAGAUGAUGAGGUAGAUAGGCUAGAAGUGGACGUGUGGUGACACAUGGAGCGGACUAGUACUAAUGGUUCGAGGACUUAACCAAG
rnacentral:rRNA from 1 species